GACAACUUCCAAUAAACACUGGAGGGUAAUGCUUUAUUCAAACAAUGAUAUGUAACCACGGUACAACAGAUGAACCAACAAAAACAAUUCAACGUCCCAGGAAAAAGAGCGAUCAUCUGGGAGAUUACAACGGCAGGAGGUCUUUAUUGUCUUCUGCUUCAAAUUGCUGUGGAAGGGGGGAGCGGCCAGGGGAUGCGGGUGGGGAAGGAACGACAAACUUCUAAUUGUUCCCCCCCCCCCCUCUCCCCUUGAAGAAACAUUCAAUUCAAAUACAAAGUUGGAUGACAGUUUUUCCUAUCCUGAUGCAGGCGAUAAGUACGUGAAUUUCUCCAAAGAAUUUGACCUUUCCAAGCUUUCUAUUAUCAAGGCAGCUUCUGAGAAUCAUCCUGCGGUUGCAUGCAUCCUAUUAUGGAACGCCUAG
rnacentral:lncRNA from 1 species